rnacentral:miRNA from 1 species
UUGGUUACCCAUAUGGCCAUC